CGACCGUGCGGUGUACCUAGCUCCGCGCUCCCGAGCGCAUAGUCUUCCUCUCCUUCUCUUCCUGUGACUCGCGGACUCCUCUCUGAUCUCCCACAUGGACAAACCCUAGCACAGGACACCAGGCGAGCGAGGCCGCCUGCCCAGGACGUCGGCCACCACCGUGUCGGCACCUCCCACAUCACGAACACGGGUGUGGAUGAAGGAUUGAGGCAUGUGGCAGGUGACGCCCCUUACCCUCUUCCUUCUCCAACAGACGGCAUCUUGUCCGACCUUUGCUUACCUCCCUCUCUCGCCGCCGCCUGAUGAGUGGUGCGUCUCCUUUGACACCCUGAGGUCCGUCCACUUCGCGCGGCCGCUACUGAGUACUGACCACCACCCAAUCUAUCGACAAGGGAUCUGCAGGAGAUGCUCCCCUUUCCAUUUGUGUGUGGCAUUGACAUCGCCACGGCUCUAGGCUAGACCUACUGUUUUUACACGGCGCGUCUUCAAUCAAUGGUGAAGUUGUCUAUGGAAGUGGCCCAAUCCAGUGAUACAGAGAUGUCUGGUACAGAGUAUAGCAAAAGCAAGGGUGUGCACCAGUAGCAUCCUAGAAAACAGGGCUAAGUGCCCUAUUGAAAAGGCCCUCGUAACAGGUCACCAGUGGCUUGCGACAAUUUCCUGAUGCUUCUUGCAGAGAUUGUGCAGGUCAUGCUAGACAUGUGCUAUAUUUUGCAGGAGUCAUACGGUAGCUUCAAGGUAAAACAUAUAGAAAAUUGUACUUGUAGUGCAUUUUGGAGUAUUCCAUCAUAGACUAAUUCAAUCCUACAUCCUACUUCAAGAAUGUUAUUCUCAAGUACCAUUUAAUAAUGUGUAGCGGCCUGCCAAGGUUAAUUAUAUCCUUUUGAUAAUGUGAAGUUGUGUUUUUUUGAAAUAUAAGAGACUGAAUUUUCUCAUUACUGUUAAGAUAGGGAUAAUUAUAAGAAAAAUAGAAAAAGUCAUUUUGCAAACCUUUUUCCAUUUGGAAUAGUUCCAUAUAUAUAGUUUUCAAAAAUUUUGCCUCAUCUUUUAAUUUAUUUUAGAUACCUUUUUCUUUUACAACUUUGACAUUUGUGUAGCUGUUUUAGUCACCCAAGUUAGGUUCUCCUGAGAUCUCCAAGUUUCUAACAAUGGUUAAUAUUGCUAAUAUGUUAUCCUUUUAACAAAUCCUUUAUGGGGGUCAAGCACUCGCUCUUCGGUGCUCCAGCAGCUUAAGGAGUAUGAGAAUGGACUCGUGCUUGAAAAUAAUAGACACAUCAUUUCAAAGCCUACCUAUCUAACUGCAAACUUUUUAUGGCUAUCAAUCUCGGGUGUUGUGACCAUAACUGAUAGUGCAUUCCUGAUGGUGUGGUGGUGAAGCCAAUGCAAAUUGGUGGGAGAGAUGACUUGCAGUGUAAAUAGUCUUCAAUGCUAUGAUGGUCAGAUUAGUCAAACAUUUUACAAACUUCAGCACUAUGCCUGAGAAAUGUAAUCCAUUUUAAUGCCUAGAGUUAGUGAGUGAAUCAAGUUGUGUAAUUUGGGUGACCUAUGAGAAAAAUAAGUUCUGUGAGUAGCCAGAUGUACACAAUUUAUCUACGGAUUGUAUACAGUUUAUUAUCUACGAUGGAGAGCUUGAGAAAUAUUAUUUGAAAUCAUAAUGCGUAUGAA